rnacentral:rRNA from 1 species
GUGGGGAAUUUUGGACAAUGGGGGAAACCCUGAUCCAGCGACGCCGCGUGAAGGAUGAAGGCCUUCGGGUUGUAAACUUCUUUUGGAGGGGACGAAUAAAUUGACGGUACCCUCAGAAAAAGCCACGGCUAACUACGUGCCAGCAGCCGCGGUAAUACGUAGGUGGCGAGCGUUACUCGGAAUUACUAGGCGUAAAGCGUAUGUAGGCGGUUGUAUAAGUCUAUGGUGAAAUUUCCUGGCUCAACUGGGAAGGGACAUAGAUACUGUAUGGCUUGAGUGUUGGAGGGGGAGACGGAAGUCCUGGUGUAGCGGUGAAAUGCGUAGAUAUCAGGAGGAACACCGAUGGCGAAAGCAGUCUCCUGGCCAAAUACUGACGCUGAGGUACGAAAGCUAGGGUAGCAAACAGGAUUAGAAACCGCAGUAGUCC